rnacentral:rRNA from 1 species
GGAGGAAAGUAGGGGAUCGAAAGACCUUGAGCUUUUGGAGCGGCCGAUGUCUGAUUAGCUAGUUGGUGGGGUAAGGGCCUACCAAGGCGACGAUCAGUAGUUGGUCUGAGAGGACGACCAGCCACACUGGGACUGAGACACGGCCCAGACUCCUACGGGAGGCAGCAGUGGGGAAUUUUGGACAAUGGGCGCAAGCCUGAUCCAGCAAUGCCGCGUGAGUGAAGAAGGCCUUCGGGUUGUAAAGCUCUUUCAGUCGAGAAGAAAAGGCUGCAGUGAAUAACUGUAGUUUAUGACGGUAUUGACAGAAGAAGCACCGGCUAACUACGUGCCAGCAGCCGCGGUAAUACGUAGGGUGCGAGCGUUAAUCGGAAUUACUGGGCGUAAAGGGUGCGCAGGCGGUUUUGUAAGUCAGAUGUGAAAUCCCCGGGCUUAACCUGGGAAUUGCGUUUGAAACUACAAAGCUAG